rnacentral:rRNA from 1 species
GACAGAGGGUGCAAACGUUGUUCGGAAUUACUGGGCGUAAAGCGCGUGUAGGCGGCUAAGUAAGUCGGGCGUGAAAUCCCACGGCUCAACCGUGGAAGUGCACUCGAAACUGCAUAGCUAGAGUCCUGGAGAGGAAGGUGGAAUGCUUGGUGUAGAGGUGAAAUUCGUAGAUAUCGGGAGGAACACCAGUGGCGAAGGCGGCGACCUGGGCCAAUACUGACGCUGAGGUGCGAAAGCGUGGGGAGCAAACAGG